GUGACUUGCAAUCUAGAGAUUAGACGUUCCCUUCGGGGACAUGGAUACAGGUGGUGCAUGGUUGUCGUCAGCUCGUGUCGUGAGAUGUUGGGUUAAGUCCCGCAACGAGCGCAACCCUUAUUAUCAGUUGCCAGCAUUAAGUUGGGCACUCUGGUGAGACUGCCGGUGACAAACCGGAGGAAGGUGGGGAUGACGUCAAAUCAUCAUGCCCCUUAUGACCUGGGCUACACACGUGCUACAAUGGAUGGUACAACGAGUUGCGAACUCGCGAGAGUAAGCUAAUCUCUUAAAGCCAUUCUCAGUUCGGAUUGUAGGCUGCAACUCGCCUACAUGAAGUCGGAAUCGCUAGUAAUCGCGGAUCAGCAUGCCGCGGUGAAUACGUUCCCGGGUCUUGGACACACCGAA
rnacentral:rRNA from 2 species